rnacentral:rRNA from 1 species
GACGAACGCUGGCGGCGUGCUUAACACAUGCAAGUCGAACGGAAAGGCCCUGCUUUUGUGGGGUGCUCGAGUGGCGAACGGGUGAGUAACACGUGAGUAACCUGCCCUUGACUUUGGGAUAACUUCAGGAAACUGGGGCUAAUACCGGAUAGGAGCUCCUGCUGCAUGGUGGGGGUUGGAAAGUUUCGGCGGUUGGGGAUGGACUCGCGGCUUAUCAGCUUGUUGGUGGGGUAGUGGCUUACCAAGGCUUUGACGGGUAGCCGGCCUGAGAGGGUGACCGGCCACAUGGGGACGGGGAUCCGGCCCAGACUCUUACGGGAGGCAGCGGUGGGGAUUAUGCAACAAUGGCGGAAGCCUGAUGCAGCAACGCCGCGUGCGGGAUGACGGCCUUCGGGUUGUAAACCGCUUUCGCCUGUGACGAAGCGUGAGUGACGGUAAUGGGUAAAGAAGCACCGGCUAACUACGUG